rnacentral:rRNA from 1 species
GAUGAACGCUAGCGGCAGGCUUAACACAUGCAAGUCGAGGGGUAGAGGCUUUCGGGCCUUGAGACCGGCGCACGGGUGCGUAACGCGUAUGCAAUCUGCCUUGUACUGGGGGAUAGCCCAGAGAAAUUUGGAUUAAUACCCCAUAGUAUUUUCGGUUGGCAUCAACUGAUUAUUAAAGUUUUUCGGUACAAGAUGAGCAUGCGUCCCAUUAGCUAGUUGGCAUGGUAACGGCAUACCAAGGCUACGAUGGGUAGGGGUCCUGAGAGGGAGAUCCCCCACACUGGUACUGAGACACGGACCAGACUCCUACGGGAGGCAGCAGUGAGGAAUAUUGGUCAAUGGUCGCAAGACUGAACCAGCCAUGCCGCGUGCAGGAUGAAGCAUCUAUGGUGUGUAAACUGCUUUUGUACGGGAAGAAACACUGCUACGUGUAGCAGCUUGACGGUACCGUAAGAAUAAGGAUCGGCUAACUCCGUGCCAGCCGCCGCUGUAAGAC